rnacentral:rRNA from 1 species
CCUACGGGAGGCAGCAGUAAGGAAUAUUGGUCAAUGGACGCAAGUCUGAACCAGCCAUGCCGCGUGGAGGAUGAAGGUCCUCUGGAUUGUCAACUUCUUUUAUUUGGGAAGAAACUCCCGAUUUCCAUCGGGAUUGACGGUACCAGAUGAAUAAGCACCGGCUAACUCCGUGCCAGCAGCCGCGGUAAUACGGAGGGUGCAGGCGUUAUCCGGAUUCACUGGUGUGAAGGUGGGCAGGGAAGUCAGGGUAGAAAUCGCCGGGCUUAACCCGGAAACUGCCAUUGAUACUAUUUGUCUUGAAUACUCUUGAGGUGAGCGGAAUAUGUCAUGUAGCGGUGAAAUGCUUAGAUAUGACAUAGAACACCCAUUGCGAAGGCAGCUCACUACGGAAAUAUUGACGCUGAGGCACGAAAGCGUGGGGAUCAAACAGGAUUAGAUACCCCUGUAGUC